UUUUUUUUUUUUUUCCGAGAAUCUGGACUUUUUUGGAGACCUCCAGGUUUUAAAUAUUGGCUUGAAUUUUAAAAACCAGUUUAGGGAAAGAGAAAAUUAAACUACUGUUAUGGUUAACUUUGUGUCAACAAGGACACAGUGCUCAAAUAUUUGCAUCAACAAUCCUCUAGAUAUUUCUCUGAAAGUGUUUCUUGAAUUAUUAUGAGUUUACCAUUUAAGUCAGUGGACUUGGAGUAAAGCUGACCCUCUUUAUAAUGUGGCUAAGCUUCUUGAAUUAGUUGAACAUCUUAAUGAACCAAGACUGACCUCCCCCAAGGAGGAAUUCCACCAGCAACUGCCUUUGCUGGGUCUCCAGCCCGCUGGCAUACCCGUAUUUCCAAACCACCAAGCCUCCAGAAUCGGAUGAGACAAUUUUUUCUAUGUGCAUCCUCUUGAUCUGUUUGUCUAGAGAAUCCUAAUACAGAAACUAAGCAGUUAUACACCCUCUGUAACUUAUGCACUUACAGCCAGCCUACUGAAGCCUUUUUUGGGGGUGGCACCAUCUGUACUAUUACAAGACAGGUAGAGGUUUUUUCUCUCACAUAUAUCCCUCAAAUACUUCUCUAGCUAGACUUAGCUACCCAUAACUAUUGAUUCCUAAUCUAUUUUAACAUUCUCUCCAAAAAAUUCAAAUUUAGGACUUGUGAGACAAGUUUUUAUAUAACUUACUAGAUCUCAAAAACAAUCCAAUGAGGUAAGACUUAUCAUAAUUUCCAAGAAAAACAAAAAAUCAUCUAACAAACCUUAAACUUACUCUUGCUUCUCCUUUUUUUUGAGACAGAGUCUCGCUCUGUCACCCAGGCUGGAGUGCAGUGGCGCGUUCGCACCUCACUGCAACCUCCACCUCCCAGGUUCAAGUGAUUCUCCUGCCUCAGCCUCUCGAGUAGCUGGGACUACAGGCAUGCGCCACCAUGUCCAGCUAGUUUUCUUCUAUUUUUAGUCGAGAAAGGGUUUCACCAUGUUGGCCAGGAUGGUCUCAAUCUCUUGACCUCGUGAUCCACCUGCCUUGGCCUCCCAAAGUGCUGGGAUUACAGGCAUCAGCCACCUUGCCUGGCCGCUUCAACUUUUUCCAAAGAUGAAAAACCUUUAUGUUCCAUACAAGGAACUCUCUCAAUACAGGAUACCUGAUCUACCACUGAAUAAUCAAAUAACAAUGACACACAAGUACAAGAGACAUAUGAGCAAAGUCAUAUAAAUUAAGGCUGCACCAUAAUUAAGUAGUUAUCAGGUGACUGUUGAAGAACCUAAAGUGAGGCCCUAGGUGAGAAACAAAAAAAUCAAAAUGGAAGUUUUUAGCGAAUCAGUAGUUGUACCCAAGGGCCAUAUAAGAAAUCUAAUGAUAUAGUGGGGAGUGGCCUACACAGCUAUUUUUUUUUUUUUUUUUUUUUUUGAAGGGAUAUAGAACUACUCAGAGCAAUUUUUAAAAAUCCAGAAAUAUACUUUUAUGGAAAUAGGUUUUUAAAUGUUGGUUUAAAAACAGAGCAUCACCCUUUCACCAAAGUCUGGAGGCCAAACAGACUACCAGUCUGGAGUCUAUUUUAUUGCAGCAUUUUAACAUCAGUGGUAUUCCAACAGUGAGCAGAUGAAAAUACUCAGUA
rnacentral:lncRNA from 1 species